rnacentral:tRNA from 1 species
AAAAUUCUAAUUAAUGUUAUAAUAUUUUCUUGUCAAGAAAAAAUUGCCUAAAGGUGAAUUUUA